UACGUAGGGGGCAAGCGUUGUCCGGAUUUAUUGGGCGUAAAGAGCGUGUAGGCGGUCAGGUAGGUCCGUUGUGAAAACUCGAGGCUCAACCUCGAGACGCCGAUGGAAACCAUCUGACUAGAGUCCGGAAGAGGCGAGUGGAAUUCCUGGUGUAGCGGUGGAAUGCGCAGAUAUCGGGAGGAACACCUGUGGCGAAAGCGGCGCACUGGACCACAACUGACGCUGAGGCGCGAAAGCUAGGGGAGCAAACAGG
rnacentral:rRNA from 1 species